rnacentral:rRNA from 1 species
GACGAACGCUGGCGGCGUGCUUAACACGUGCAAGUCGAACGAUGAUGCUGGAGCUUGCUCCAGUUGAUUAGUGGCGAACGGGUGAGUAACACGUGAGCAAUCUGCCCUUGACUCUGGGAUAACUGCGGGAAACUGUAGCUAAUACCGGAUACUUUCACCGGAAGGCAUCUUCUGGUGAUGAAAGAAUUUCGGUCAGGGAUGAGCUCGCGGCCUAUCAGCUUGUGGGUGCGGUAACGGCUCACCAAGGCGACGACGGGUAGCCGGCCUGUGAGGGUGACCGGCCACACUGGGACUGAGACACGGCCCAGACUCCUACGGGAGGCAGCAGUGGGGAAUAUUGCACAAUGGGCGCAAGCCUGAUGCAGCAACGCCGCGUGAGGGAUGAAGGCCUUCGGGUUGUAAACCUCUUUUAGCAGGGAAGAAGCGAAAGUGACGGUACCUGCAGAAAAAGCACCGGCUAACUACGUGCCAGCCGCCGCCGUAA